GGGGGUGUACUGGAUUCGACACUUGUCUUGAAGCGGUAUAAGCACGUCGUAGGCUCGGCUACGUAAAAACGGAAACCUAAAAUUAAACGCAAAAAAUAACGAAAAGAGACCAUCCAACAUGGGUCUCGCCCUUGCUGCAUAAUUUAGUCAGCAUGUCGCCCCGAGGUUUUCUGUUCCCUCGGCAAGCGGCAUCAGAAAAACAGACAACGCAGCCCUAUCGUCCUGUAAGGCUGUUGUCACCAAGGACUCAUCAACCGACGGCUUGUUUGUGUGCCUGACCGCGAAAAAUCCAAACAUAAACUAAACGUGUAGAAAGUCCCGAAUAUGGGCAUUUGGACCGGGGUUCGACUCCCCGCACUUCCACCA
rnacentral:tmRNA from 1 species